rnacentral:ncRNA from 1 species
GCUGUCUACGAGUCGGGUUGUUUGGGAAUGCAGCCCUAAUCGGGCGGUAAAUGCCGUCCAAGGCUAAAUACGGGUGAGAGACCGAUAGCGAACAAGUACCGCGAGGGAAAGAUGAAAAGGACUUUGAAAAGAGAGUCAAAGAGUGCUUGAAAUUGUCGGGAGGGAAGCGGAUGGGGGCCGGCGAUGCGCCCCGGUCGGAUGUGGAACGGCGAG